UACGGAGGGUGCAAGCGUUAAUCGGAAUUACUGGGCGUAAAGUGCGCGUAGGCGGUUUUUUAAGCCGGAUGUGAAAGCCCCGGGCUCAACCUGGGAACUGCAUCCGAUACUGGAAGACUAGAAUGCGGGAGAGGGAGGUAGGAUUCCAUGUGUAGCAGUGAAAUGCGUAGAUAUAUGGAGGAAUACCAGUGGCGAAGGCGGCCUCCUGGCUCGACAUUGACGCUGAGGUGCGAAAGCGUGGGGAGCAAACGGG
rnacentral:rRNA from 1 species